rnacentral:rRNA from 1 species
UACGGAGGGUGCAAGCGUUGUCCGGAAUCACUGGGCGUAAAGGGCGCGUAGGCGGCUCAUGAAGGCUGUGGUGAAAGUCCGGGGCUCAACCUCGGAUCGGCCGUGGCGACUCGUGGGCUGGAGCACUGUAGAGGCGGGUGGAAUUCCGGGUGUAGCGGUGAAAUGCGCAGAUAUCAGGAGGAACACCAAUGGCGAAGGCAGCUCGCUGGAACGGUACUGACGCUGAGGCGCGAAAGCGUGGGGAGCAAACAGG